rnacentral:rRNA from 1 species
CCCUGCCAUUUGUACACACCGCCCGUCGUUACUACCGAUUGAAUGACUUAGUGAGGCCUCGGGAUUGGCGGCCGGGCCGGCAACGGCUGCACGGCCACCGAGAACCUGUCCAAACUUGGUCAUUUAGAGGAAGUACAAGUCGUAACAAGG